rnacentral:rRNA from 1 species
CAGUCGCCGCGGUAAUACGAAGGGGGCUAGCGUUGCUCGGAAUGACUGGGCGUAAAGAGCUCGUAGGCGGUUUGUCACGUCGUCUGUGAAAUCCUAGGGCUUAACCCUGGACGUGCAGGCGAUACGGGCUGACUUGAGUACUACAGGGGAGACUGGAAUUUCUGGUGUAGCGGUGGAAUGCACAGAUAUCAGGAAGAACACCGAUGGCGAAGGCAGGUCUCUGGGUAGUAACUGACGCUGAGGAGCGAAAGCAUGGGUAGCGAACAGGAUUAGAUACCCGAGUAGUCCCUGUCUCUUAUAC